rnacentral:rRNA from 1 species
UAGUAACGGCGAGUGAAGAGGGAAGAGCCCAAGAUUGAAAGCUGGCGUCUUCGGCGUCCGCAUUGUAAUCUCAAGAAGUGUUUUCCGCUUCGGACCAUGCCUAAGUCCCUUGGAAAAGGGCAUCAUAGAGGGUGAUAAUCCCGUACAUGGCAUGGAGCGCCCGUAGCUUUGUGAUACACUUUCUAAGAGUCGAGUUGUUUGGGAAUGCAGCUCAAAAUGGGUGGUAAAUGCCAUCUAAGGCUAAAUAUUGGGGAGAGACCGAUAGCGAACAAGUACAGUGAUGGAAAGAUGAAAAGAACUUUGAAAAGAGAGUUAAACAGUACGUGAAAUUGCCAAAAGGGAAGGGUAGGAGGUCAGAGAUGCGGCCUGGGAUUCAGCCUUGCUUUUGCUUGGUGUUUUUCCCAGAUUGCAGGCCAACGUCGGUUUUGGGCACUGGAGAAGGGUAGGAGGAACGUGGCACCUCUCGGGGUGUGUUAUAGCCUCCUACUGGAUACAGCGACCGAGACCGAGGACAGCAGCGUACUCGCAAGAGCGGGCCUUCGGGCACCUUUACGCUUAGGGCGUUGGCAUAAUGGCCCUCUACCA